ACAUACAUAUUUUUAUCUGUGGUAGUUGGUAAUUUAUCUAUUGAGGUGUGUUGUGGUAAUUGAAGGCAAUUUUUAGGUCAAUAAUUUACUGCAAUGGCUUUAGUUAUUCUUUUGCAAUAGUACUUUUGAUUGCCGUCUCCUGGAUAAUGGAUAAAAUACAAUGAAGUAGGAUAUUAUGUGCAUUUGAAAUAAAAACAAUUCGACGGAGUAAUGACACUAAAGAAAAUUGCGAAAAUGUCAAUAAAAUCGCAAAUAUCUGCCGAAUUAAGUGAUAGUAUAAGCAAUGUCCUGGGUAAAAAUGUUAAAAUUCUAUAUAAAUCUCUUAUCCGAAUGGAAUCAAGGGGAGAUAAAGUGGACAACAAAGUUUUGAUUGUAACUGCCUAUAGAAUUUUUAUUACUACUACUAAAGUUCCUACAAGGGUUGACAAUGGAUUUCACUUGAUGGAGAUAGAAGCGCUGGAAAGCAAAAAGCCCAACCAUUUAUCAAUAACGCUCGUCCAUGAACACAAGCCGGUGUCCAUUCUCAUAGGAGAGGAAGGUUCGUCCGAAGGCGUUGUAAAUGCAAUGCACGCGGUCGUGACUGCUUUCGACGAUUUAUUUCCCAAUGUGGCCAUGGAGGAUAUUGUAUGCAAGGUAAAUUUACCUUUUCAACUACAGCCUGUGAGUGGCACACGGAAACAUUCAACUUGCGGUGAUUUCUCUAACCAAUAUGCUGCUAUGUGCGAUCUUUGUCAGACACCAUUCAGGGCCGAAGUAGCUUGGGAUAUAGAUACAAUAUAUUUAGCUCAUGAUAUCCGAAUGUUACAUCUCAAAGAUUUCGAUCAUUUGGACCAAAGGGACUUGAUACCAUUGAUAAUGUCCCUGCAACACAACACAUGGUUCAACGGCGUGUGCGGGGACGGCGUGCGGGCGACGGGCGAGGCGUGGGAGAGCGUGUGCCGGAUGGUGCGCGGCGCCAGCCCCGCGCCGCAGCGGCUGAGCUGGCGCGCCGCCGCGCUGCGCCACGACCACGCCGCGCGCCUCGGCCACGCGCUCCUCCGGGCGAGGCGAGUGUCGCGCAUGCACACUGUCGACCUCUCGCAGAACCACAUUGAGGACAAAGGUGCUAUUAGUGUACUAACUGGACUGGCGAGCAAUCCAAACGGCUUGCAGUAUUUGGCGAUGUCUCAGUGUGGGGUUACCGGAAAGACUGUAACACAUCUGGCUUCCAUGCUCAAUGAUAAUAUGAACCACCUAUCAACUUUGUCUCAUUUGGAUUUAUCGCAGAAUAAUUUGAAGGACGAUGUGCAUAAUUUAUACAACUUUCUCGCCCAACCCAACGUUUUGACGCACUUAAAUUUGACUAACACGGAGACUACAUUAGAAAAUAUGUGGGGCGCGCUGCUGCGCGGCUGCGCGGCGCGGCUGUCGUCGCUGCGCGUGGGCCGCAACCCGUGGUCGCUGGCGCGCCGCGCGCGCGACCCGCCGCCCUCCUUCCGCCAGUUCUUCACCGCCUGCCUCGCGCUCACCGACCUCGACUUCUCCUACUGCAAGAUGCCCGCGGACGCUCUCAAGAGCUUACUUCUCGGAUUAGCGUGCAACGAAAGUGCGACGGGCGUACAACUAAACCUGUCCGGAGUGCUGUCGUCGUCGCAGGCCGCGCAUGUGUUGGAGUCGUGCAUACACGGGGUGCGAUGUCUUCAGUCGCUCGACUUGUCAGAUAAUAGUAUGGAAUUUGAAUUAUCGGGAAUAGUGAGAGCCAUAGGCAAGAACCAUUCUAUAACACAUUUAUCGUUAAGUAAACUGACUGGAAAGCGUUCUUAUGCUCCGCCUUUAAUACAAGCCUUAGUUCAUGUGCUACAAGAACCGGACACUGCCUUGACUUCGUUAGACCUGAGUGAUUGUAAAUUGAAGGCUGAUUUAUAUGGAUUAUUGAACGCUUUGGGCGGCGCCCGGCGCCUGCGCUCGUUGGACGUGGGCGGGAACAUGGCCGGCGACGCGGGCGCUAGAUUAUUGGCCAAAGCAUUGCAGUGUAACUGUACUCUACACACGCUGUAUAUAGACCGCAACGCCUUCAGUCUGCAAGGUCUGACCGACAUCGCGACGGCGCUGCGGCGCUCGGUGAGCGUGCGGCGCGUGGAGUUCCCCGGCUGCGACGCCGCGUGCGGCGGCCGCGGCGCCAGCGAGAGGGUGGCCGCGCUGUGGCGGGAGCUACACGAACGAUUGGCGAACAACAGCACGCCGUCGCAAGCGCACACGUUACGAGCGCUGGCGCUGGAGCGGGCGUGGGCCGGCGGCGAGGCGGCGGCGGCGGUGGCGGCGCAGGCGGCCGCCGCGCUGCCGCCGCAGCCGCUGCCUGCUGCGCUCGAGCGCGCCGCCGCCGCUGCGCACCAUCUGCUGCACCAGUACCUGCAGCGGUGUGGCGAAGUGUUCGCAGCGAUGGGCGGCGCGGGCUCCAGCGGCGAGGUGGUGUCGCUGCAGGCGGUGCGCGACGCCAUGGCGCCUUGUUCCAGCACGCUGCAAGACCUGCUCAAUUCUGCCGUGGAGCGCCUGGCGUUGGCGGCGUGUGAAAGCGUCGAGAGCGGCGACAGCGGGGACUCGGAGCCCGCGGCGGGCGGACACGUGCCUGACUUGCUGACGCCGGUGUCGCACUCUGCGAAAUUGGAUUAUUUGAACUUGGCGACGCCAUUAGGCUGCCGACGUCGCGAGCGCGGGCCGCGGCGCGUGCGGCCGAAGUCUGUGGCGGAGCAGCAGUGCAGCAGCAACGAGAUGCUGUCGCUGCCGCCGCUGCACGCCGAGGCCGCGGACGCACUCGCUGACUUGCCCGCCCACACGCUGCGUCACCUCGUUAAAGGUCGACCGCGGCGCACAAAGACAAGAGCGCCGACCCGUCCAAUCACAGAUCAAUCGCAAGACAUCGACGAAGGCCUGGACGAGUUCUGGCGCACGUGCCGCACGCCGCCGGGCAGCGAGGAGGCGUCACUGUCCGCCCGCACGCCGCUCACGUCGCGCUCACUGCACUCGCUGUCCUCGCUCGCCUCGCCCGACCACCGCGACCACACGCUGCUCAGAGACGACACGAGUUAUAGCGUCACGUCUGGCGAGAGCACACCUGUGUUAUUAGAAUGUGAGGUAUCCCGUUGCAAGUCUUCCGACGACGUGGGCGCGAAGCCCGCCAACACGCCGCCGCCCUCGCGCUCGUCCGACAACGUCAACAUGGGCGGGACGUGCGCGCGCGCAGCGGGUAAGGCGCGGCCCUGGUCGGUGGCCGGCCUCAACCCCGACAGCGGCGCCUGCACCACAGAAGGAGUGGAGGCGUGCGUCGGCGGCAGCAUAGUCGGAAUCACGCCGGGCGCCGCACUAACCAGUAACCAACUUUCUGACGCUAUUCUAUACUGAAUUAGCAGCUAGUCCAUGUGCAAAGCUAUAAUAGGCUCGAUGUUACGAGAUCAUCCUUUAACUCCAGAGGGCGCGGAAGCCUAGUGUAGCAGCGUGGUGCGCAGUCAGAAAGUGAUAGUUGAGCAGGGUUUAUGUCCAGAUAUUACGCUACACGGAUUUUAUUAUCGGAUGCUCACAAUUGUGCCAGUUAAAAUUUUAACAUUUAGCAGUAAAAUAGUUACUGGUUAGUAUUCUAACAUUAAAUCGCUAUUUUAGUUACAACUAACUUACAGUUAAUUUUUAACAUAAACGAAAAUGAAUUGUUGGUAUGCCGUCAUAAUAAUUAUUCACUAUUAAUUAUAGGAUUACGGAGUUUAUGAAGUGUAAUAAAUCCUUUCUAUUUACUGUGAUUUGUUUAGUAUUAUUCUUAUAUUGGAUUUAUUUAGUCACCAAUAUUAUUUAAGUUAUGUUACAUAUUCUUUUAUUUUUAGUGGCCAUUAUAAAAUAUAGUGGUAUGUUUUAUGUAUGGCAUUCAAGUUUGAAUUAUAAUGUAUAUUAGUUUUACAUGAGAAAUAUCAUUGAACAGACUCUGGAAAUAUAAGGGAUAUCAUUUGGUCUUGCCUAGUCAUGUUAUAAAGGCCUACUUUUGCGCACAAAGCCAGGUAAAUGACAAUUGUAAAAAGCAGUUUUUAAAUCUCCAUGACAAUUAUCUUCCACUUUUAACAUUCCUUUAAUUGUUAACUAGGAGACGGGUGUUUAAAAAAUAAUGAACAUGUGUGAUUUUUAAAAUGAAGUUCAAAAUGUAAGGUGAAUUUUUAGUAUACUUAGCAUACUACUCAGUGAUGUAAUGUUCAAUUUUACGAUAUUGUGGUAUGUAAAUGUAGAAGAUGCCCCAUAAAUUUUAAGUGUUCAUUAGAGUAAUAUAAUUAAUUGUAAAAGGUUGCGUUCGUUCUACCUAUUGGAUACCUUUGUUUUUAUUGAAAUUUCUCAUUGUAAAUUUACUGAUUAUAAGUAGAUGUAUAGUAUAUGGCUAAAUUAUUUCAUAGUAUUUUUAUAUUCAUUCCAAUUUUGUUUAUCUUACCAGCUCUUUGGUACCAGACUGAUUUUAAGGUACUUUUAUUUAUGGUGCAAUUUAUUCUAGAGCGUUGUGAUAAUCUGUUUUAAAUUACAUACGAUAAUAUACAG